AGGAAGAAAAAACGCAUACCUAGUUGGGAAAACAGCACCGGCGUCAUUCAAAAGCCGCAACCCCACCUUGCAGCGGCUGGACGCGACCGGGAAGCCCCCUCUCCCGCGGCCGCCGGCAGAAGGCAGGGCGAGGACAAGGAGGAGAAGCUGCCGGGAGCCCCCAGACCCGCGACGGCUUGCAAGGCGCCUCCGCCCCGUCUCUCCCUGCGGACGCCCGGCCCGCCGAGGCGGGACGGGGACCGGGCACCGGCCGGAGCGGUCCGCGGGGGCUGGCAGCCGGCGGGGCGGCGACGGGCGAGCCUGAGAGGGGCCGGGCGGCGCCGGCGGGGCCUCUCGCCCCGCGCCCCGCCUCACGGGCCUCACGGGCCCCACAGCCUCCCUCCGCCGUCCCUCCCUCCCGCCCCAGCGCCUGCUGCUGCCUGCCGCGGGCCGGGGCGUCGCUCCGCUCCGCUGCCCUCCUCCUCCUCCUCCUCGUCCUCCUCCCUGCUCCGCCGGCGGGGCCGCCGCCAGCUGCGGGAGCGCGGGCGGCCUCACCUCCGCCGCCAUGAUGGGCGGCGCGGGAGCUGCCGGGAGCUUCCGCCGCCGCCGCCGCCGCCAUCUCCUCCUCCUCCUCCUCCUCCUCCUCCUCCUCCUCCUCUUCCUCGGCGCUGCCGGAGCGCGGGAGCCGGCUGUGUGCGCCCGGGUCAGAAGCGCGUCCUUCAGCCCGAGUACUGCCGUCCCCGCAGGCCGGCGGCGGAGGGAAAGUGAUUCCGAGCAAGGCACUGGCUGCUGAAAGAAAUGACACCGGAGUGGCUUCGUGGCUCCGAAAGCGCGGUCCCGCAACCCGGUGUGAGGCCACGCAGAAGCGCGUAAAGCUGCUGCAGAGGUUUCUUGCGGUUUUGUCCUGCCCGUGGCCGCGCAGUUUGACAUGAUUUUGACAGAGCAGGUACGUGAAGAGCAGGCAGUCUGGCCUUACGGUACAGCGACGAAAUCGCUGGGGCCAGCACAUCUGGCCCAGCGAAACUGCGUGGCUGGCACUCGCAGUGGCUUGUUUGCUCCUACCGUGCGUGGACUUACGGAGCUGAUGGACUCCCCGUUAAUCUUGUGUGGACUGUUCAUCUUCUGAGUUUUCUGACCGCUUGAUCAGACGAGCUAUAAUUUGAAAUGUC
rnacentral:lncRNA from 1 species